rnacentral:rRNA from 1 species
GAUGAACGCUAGCUAUAGGCUUAACACAUGCAAGUCGCGGGGCAGCAUGGGGGUGGCUUGCAACCGCUUAUGGCGCCCGGCGCACGGGUGAGUCACGUGUAUCAAUCCUGCUCUUCACCAGGGGAUAACCCGGCGAAAGUCGGUCUAAUAGCGUAUGUUGUCAAUUGACGGUAUCCGAUUUGGGAGAAAGACUCGGCAGAGAAUGGGGAUGCGUCCGAUUAGCUUGUUGGCGAGGUAACGGACCACCGAGGCUACGAUCGGUAGGGGAUCUGAGAGGUAUGUCCCCCACACUGGUACUGAGACACGGUCCAGACUCCUACGGGAGGCAGCAGUGAGGAAUAUUGGUCAAUGGGCGUAAGCCUGAACCAGCCAAGUAGCGUGCAGGAUGACGGUCUUAUGGGUUGUAAACUGCUUUUAUGCGGGAAUAAAGUGAGCCACGUGUGAGCUUUUGCAGGUACCGCAUGAAUAAGGACCGGCUAAUUCCGUG